rnacentral:misc_RNA from 1 species
AACGCACCUUGCGCUCCUUGGUAUUCCGAGGAGCAUGCCUGUUUGAGUGUCAUGAAAUCUUCAACUUGCAACCUCUUUGUGGAGUUUGUAGGCUUGGACUUGGAGGGCUUGUCGGCCUUUAAUGGUCGGCUCCUCUUAAAUGCAUUAGCUUGAUUCCUUGCGGAUCGGCUGUCGGUGUGAUAAAAUGUCUACGCCGUGACCGUGAAGUGUUUGGAUGAGCUUCCAACCGUCUUGCUUCAAAGUCAACUUUUUAUGACCUCUGACCUCAAAUCAGGUAGGACUACCCGCUGAACUUAA